GUGGAGCAUGUGGCUUAAUUUGACCCAACGCGGGAAAUCUUACCGGGUCCGGACACACUGAGGACUGACAGGCGUUAUGAGCUGUAGUUGAUCUGUUUUAAUUAACAGUUCUACGCGCAUGCUCUGUUAAAGAUGCUAGUCCUUUCAUGAUUAUGUGAUAGGUGGUGCAUGGCCGUUCUUAGUUCGUGGAGUGAUCUGUCUGCUUAAUUGCGUUUCACUAAGGGCCUAUAUUCAUAAAUGCAUGUUGUUAAGUUUUAGCAUAGACUUGACCCCUCUCAAUUGCAUCAUAGCAUUUGAGUAGCGCGCGUCUUUGUUCCUUAUGCAUUAACUCAUGCGAUUAGGCUCUGAAAGCAACGAACGUGACCG
rnacentral:rRNA from 1 species